rnacentral:sRNA from 1 species
UUUUCUAUGGUCGGGUUGUUGUCUCUUUGACACAUUCCCCAUUUCCAUUCUCAAUUUUAAAUUAUAAUUUCAGUUAAAUAUUAAAUGACAGACUUGAAUAAAAUUGAGAAUGGAAAUGGGGAAUGUGUCAAAGAGACAACAACCCGACUAUAGAG